AGAAAGGCUUCCAGUUCUACAUAAGUGAAUUUUUUUUUCAAACUAUAGUAGAACUCAUACAAAGAGGGUUUUAAUGAAAUAAUUUUCAUGAAUAAAGCUAGUGACAAAAACAGUGAGAAGUGCACAACCACUUUCCGUCAGAGCUCUGGCUUGACUGUGGAGUUCAGAGGUUUCCUAACACAGUACACGUCAGGACUGACUCACCAUCAAGCGCUCCUUAAAAAAUCAGAAAUGUGUCCUCAUGUUUUGGCCUUUGAGACAAAGCCUCUUAUUUAAUCGAGUUCUGACAAUUUGACUCACAGUAUUCUGGCAGAUUAUUCAUUUUGUGGUGAGAGAGACAAAUGUCCCAGGGUGAGGGCAACACCAAGCCCUUCAGGGUCAGCUUUUCUAGGAGCGAUGUCUGGCAGAAUACAAUCCAACAUCAAAGUAGGAUUCCCCACCACAAAGCGGACAUCCCCCACCCGGCCACUUAGCCACUGUUGACAAAAUACAGGCAAAGUCUUCUGCAAAUAUGAACGAGUUUCUAGGAAUAUAAAAGUCAAGGGAAUUUACUUAACAUGUUAAGCUGUCAAAGCUGCUAAUCAAAAAUGUACUUACAGGUUUUUUUUUAAGUUAUAUUUGAAGAUUUUUAAGUUGCAAUACUUAAAAGCCUCUAGAAAAAGAAAAGAUACAAGUAUCUGGAAGAUUUAUACUAAAUGAUUUUAAUGUAUUUUUGGUAAAGUUAAAUAAGGUCAGCCUUGAAGUAAUGGGUUCCAUUACCCUCUGAGGCCAUGAAUGGAAUCCACCACCACGAGAGAAUCAAAAGCAAGGCUGCACA
rnacentral:lncRNA from 1 species